UAAGCUUAAAAUUAAUUUAAUUAAUCCAAUCGGGGACUUAAUCGAAGAAAUAUCAAAGUUUGGGGUUUAAUUGGGGUCCAAAUUGCAAACAUUAAAAUCCAAGGACUAGAUUGAAAAUGACACGGAAAUGCAAGGUUCUAAUUACAUUUUAACCAGGGACUUGAUUGCAAAAUUAUAAGAAUUACAGGGACCAAAUUGAAGACAGCCUUUAGAACUGGAAAACGGAGUCGUUUUGCAGCGACUGUUCACUGUCUUCUUCCUCCGUUUCAUCAGUUUCCAGCCAACGCUUGAGUUUCAUCAUUGAAGGCAACCAGUUACAGGGCAUUUAAGUGGCGACCGUUACAGCGCCGAUCGAUCUUUGGCCUUAUAAAAGCUGGGCAAAGGCAACCUCGGGAGAGGACCAGGGGGUUGGAGAGUUGGAGAGAGGAGAGGACCGAAAAAGCCACUGGUGAUCACAGAACCGGGGAGAUUAGAAAAAAGACUUUCGUUCCUCUGUUUCUUCUCAAAGAAACAGAGGAGGCUAAAGAAGAAAACCACGAGCAGAGGAAAAAACCAGCGAAGACAGGGGAGAGACAGAGCGGGAUAGAGGAGUAAAACCCAGCAAAAAACCGAGAGAAAGAAAAUACACAGCCAAAAACAAAACAGAGAAAACGCAAGCAUAGAAACCCAGAAAACCCAACAUUAACAUCACAAUCUCCUCGAUUCCCCCUGCAAAUCAGAAAAGAAAAAAAACCAAGCAACAAGCCGUGACCUUCAUCAUCACCGAAACAAGAGGAAAACAAAAGGGGACAGUCAUACACAGUCAAGAGCGAAAUCACCCUGCUGCCAGCCUCCUCAUGAUCUCCAGAAGCAGGUAAGCCAUUCUCAUUCUCUCUUCAUUCUUAUUUGAAUUGUGCAAAUGCAAGAACUGUGCGAAGGUAAUUUAAUUACCUUCGCACAGUUGCUGCACGCGUGAAAUUG
rnacentral:lncRNA from 1 species